rnacentral:pre_miRNA from 14 species
CUGCAGGGUUAAAACUGAUGAGUCAGGCUACUGGUUAUAUUCCAGGGCUUAUCCAGUUCUGAGUAUAACCAAAGCCUGGCUGAAUGGUGUUAAAUAAA